rnacentral:rRNA from 1 species
UACAGAGGUCUCAAGCGUUGUUCGGAUUCAUUGGGCGUAAAGGGCGCGUAGGCGGCGGGGUAAGUCGGGUGUGAAAUCUCAGAGCUCAACUCUGAAAUGGCACUUGAUACUGCUCUGCUUGAGGACUGGAGAGGAGAUUGGAAUUCACGGUGUAGCAGUGAAAUGCGUAGAUAUCGUGAGGAAGACCGGUGGCGAAGGCGGAUCUCUGGACAGUUCCUGACGCUGAGGCGCGAAGGCCAGGGGAGCAAACGGG